rnacentral:rRNA from 1 species
AAUGAACGUUGGCGGCAUGGAUUAGGCAUGCAAGUCGAGCGCGAAGUGUAGCAAUACACGGAAAGCGGCGGAAGGGAGAGUAAUACGUGGGAAUCUGCCCUUAGACCUGGGAUAGCAGCGGGAAACUGCUGGUAAUACCAGAUAAUGUCUAUGGACCAAAGGUGUGAUUCCGUCUAGGGAUGAGCCCACGUCCUAUUAGCUAGUUGGUAGGGUAAUGGCCUACCAAGGCGAUGAUGGAUAGCGGGUGUGAGAGCAUGACCCGCCUCACUGGGACUGAGACACUGCCAAGACACCUACGGGUGGCUGUAGUCGAGAAUCUUCGGCAAUGGGCGCAAGCCUGACCGAGCGAUGCCGCGUGCGGAAUGAAGGCCUUCGGGUUGUAAACCGCUGUCGAGGGGGAGCAACUUCCAUAGAGUUAUCUUUAUGGAUUGAGUGAUCCCUGGAGGAAGGACGGGCUAAGUUCGUGCCAGCCGCCGCGGUAAAAC